GUGGGGCCAAGGGCUGCCUGAAUUCGCUCCCGCUUAUCCACCUGUCCAGGCCCUCUCCCCACCCAGCCAAGGAGACCUCUAGGGCCCACCCAGGAACCUGGCUCCACCUUGAGAAAAUUGAGACUUCUUGCCUUCUCCAAGGCCCCCUUCCUAGCCCAAGCCACCCUGUCUCCCCCAGUCCCAAUAUUGCUUUUCCACGUGGCAGGGGUGCAGGACUGCCCCACCCCACCUCAAAUCACAUGGGUCCUCAUUCUCUUCAUUCAAUCCUUGCUGGCUUCCAUGCUCCUUCUUGCUGCUGGGCCUCUGCAAAUGCUGUUUCCUCAAGAAUGCUAUUCCCUUACUCUGGAAUUAUGUGACUGCCUUCACCCCUCACCUGGAACCUCCUGCUGUUCCUUCGGAUCUGGGCCCAAGUGUCACUUCCUCCAGAAGCCUUCCCUGACUACCAAGACUAGGUCUCCUAGCUCUGGAAAUUUUCUCCCAAGGACAAUGGAAUGGCUCCCCGCACACAGAAGAGACCCAACAGUGGCCGCCCCUCCUUGGGCCAACUCCUGUCUAACCCCAGCCCUGCGCCCCCACAGCUCAUGGUUACCGGGUCUUUUAGCCCCACGUGGUGGGGAUUUCAAGCCCCAAGGCUCUGGCCCCAGGAUGAACUGCGACUUACCGAACUCAACUCCAGGGUUGGCCGAAGGGAGUGCCUUCUCUGUCAUGCCCCAGUUGAAGAUGUAGCAGUUGCCAUAAUCCGGGUGGAAGAUGGAUGUGAAGUUCCUAAAAGAAACACCAUCAGCCAGAGAGCAGGCCUACCCCAGCCGGUGCCUCCCUGACGGACUGCUGUCCAGGACGCAGGGUGGAGGGGAGCCGCAGAACCCAGCCAGGUGCACUGGGCAAGCCAGGAACUCACACAAAGAGGGAAGUGGCUGACAUGGCAGGUCAGAGAGGGGAUGAAUCAGGAGAGGGCCCCCCCCAAGAGGCCAAGGAAAGACACGGCUUUAUAACGAGGCGUGUGGGACCCUAUCCAGGGUCCUCUUAUGUCCUGGAAAUGUUUCCUAAGGAAAUAACCACCACAAGAAAUGCUUCCAUAAAGAUGCUCAUAACGGUAGCAAUGAUAUCCUGUAGUUUCAAAGAAUUCAGUUAAAAAAAGGACUUUUUUGGAUAUGGAACAUUUCAAACACAAAAAAGUCAAGACAGUGAACUCCACCACCAGCUUCAAGAAUCAUCACGGCAGGGCCACUAACGAAUGCUUCAUCUCUACCCGGUCCCAUCUCCCUUCCAUGUUAUUCUCCAGCAAAUCUCAGACUUCAUGAUUUUGUUUGUAAACAUUUCCAGAUGUAUCUUGAAAACUGUUAAAACAGUUCUGGUUUGACCCAGCUAAUCCUUGGAGAGGCAGUGAAUUGAUCAACAUUUCCCACCCUGGAUGAAUGAAUGGCUUUGGGCAACACCCACUGGUGGUGGCCAAUGCUGCUUGCAUCCUGAUGGAAAACCACAGGCUGCCGAGGAGGUGGCUUUGCUAAUAAAACAUAAAAAUCCUCCCCGAACAGGACUGAGCAUCUGUCUCUAACCAGCAUUUACAGGAAAUACUGGAGACAGAGGAACAGGUUCAAAGACACCAAAGAAUAGUCAACCUGCAAAAUCCAGACCUUGGGGAAUGCAAUAGGAUAAACACCCCAGUUCCUUCAACAAACACCCUGUGAGAGAGGAAAGGGGACACAACCUACAGAUGAACAGAAACUUUAAAGACUUGGGUCGCAAUCACAACAUGCUGCCUUUAAUUGGAUCCUGAUUCACACACGCAUACAAGCAAAAAGUGGCUGUUUCUUGAGCAUGUGCCACAUUUGAGGGAGAGAGGAUGGAGCCAGAAGGACAGUGAGGAAGCGGGGACAUAGUGUUUGGAGCCUGGCGUCGGGAGGGCAGAGAGAGGCACGUGUCCUCUGGCACCGCGUCUGAGGCUGACUCAGGGAAGCAGGGGUCCACUCAUUCCUCACGCUCAGUCCCGUGACCCAGUGGGACCUGCCUUGUGGAGGGUGCCAGCGUGGGAGCUGCCCACAAUGAAGCCACGCUCUGUGCACAACGCCGAUCUUCUGACACCAGGACCCCGCUCAAGGCCCAGGGACCUGACGGUAGAUCCCCGCAGACCCCAACAGACCCCUCCCCUUUCCCACCUCACCCACCGCCCAGGGCUCUUCUCACUGAGCAGAUGGGCCCCAUGCUCGAAGGCAGAGUCUGACCUCUCUCUCUAGCGAGAGGGCAAAGGUGACCGUGCAGAUGUGACACGCCAGUCCACGGGCUACCUGCAGCCUUCUGGGAGGGCUGCCAGGAGCGGCUGGCCAGGGGUGUGCUGAGCAAAGGCCACUGGCUGAGAGCGAGGGGUUGGCAUGCAGCCAGCAGCCAGCCACGCCAUCGCCACGGGCCAGACGCGUCCUGUCGGCAGGAGCACUGGCCUGUACUCUUCCGCCUGCAGGCCACACCUUUCCAGUUCACACCACACGGCGGGAUGUGCACCUCUGCCGGCUCCGGGGGCCCUGGAUUCCCUGAAACUGCCUGCAGAAUGCCUGCCCCUGUGCCUUUGGGGGGACAGAGGGUCCCCGUGGCGUUAAGCAGACUCAGUAGAGCUUCCUGAAGGCUCAUGGGUAGAGAGAGCGCAGGGCUCAGGCACCGUCCCCUGGAGGGUGACACCAGAAGCCUGUUACUCAUGAGAUGUGGCAGGACUCCGUGGACAUCUCCAGCGCCCCGAAGUGGGAGACCGUGGAGCCCCAGACCAACAGGAUGCCAGCACAUGUGGGCCCUGCACACCCAGAGCUCUGGCCACGAGUCCUGGAGGCCCUGCGGCCAGAGCAGCUUUGCCUGGGCCCAGCUUCCAGGCUGUGGUCCUGCCCCAGAGACGCUAGGGUCCGGGGCUGGGUGUGACAGCAGCAAGGGAAGUGAGCGGGGGGGAGGCUGGGGACCUGUCGUAAGAGCUGCACAGGCUUUUGGGGUGAACGUUAUUCUCACUCUGCCAUCCUCUCAACCUUGGGAUUGUCAGGCAUGCCAGAGAACGCUCCCUUCUAAGUGCUGAGCUGAGCCAGCUCAGCUCUCCUCCCGGGAACCCGAGGUGGUGGAUGGUCCGGGAUGAGAAUCAGGGCCGGAGGUGCCAGGGUGCCCGCCCAGACCCCUCAGCUGCUGGGUGUUGGAGGCGAACAGCUCACAGCUGCCUCCUCUUCAGCCCCCUUGCCUGGGAAGUGAGGGGACCCCAGCCCAUCCUCCUAGGGUGGCCCAUGGCCCGUAAGGCACUGAUGCUGCAGGUACAAAAGGCCGGCCCCUCAGGAGGACAGUCCUGUGGUGUGGCUGAUGUUCCCGAUGCCCAGGGAUCGGACCUGACGUCGCCUGAGACCACGGCCUCAUUGAGCUCCUUCCUCCUUCCUCAUCCUGCCUGCCUUUACAGACGUGUCCUAAAGCGAUUCCCUCGAAUGUCAUGGGCCCUCCACACAUCCCUCUCCGGCUCUGCCUCCGGGAAAUCCGCCUGGAGACACGGAGGCACAGGUCCGUGGUGGCUCAGGGCUGUGACGGUGGGGGUGGGGGGCAGGCCAGGCAGGC